AGAGUUUGAUCCUGGCUCAGGAUGAACGCUGGCGGCGUGCUUAACACAUGCAAGUCGAACGGAAGUAAGAGACGGAAGGGGCAGUUUACUGCCACAGAACAAUUUUACUUUAGUGGCGGACGGGUGAGUAACGCGUGGGUAACCUGCCUUAUACAGGGGGAUAACACUUAGAAAUAGGUGCUAAGACCGCAUAAGCGCCCAGGGCCGCAUGGCCCAGGGUGAAAAACUCCGGUGGUAUAAGAUGGGCCCGCGUCUGAUUAGCCAGUUGGCAGGGUAACGGCCUACCAAAGCGACGAUCAGUAGCCGGCCUGAGAGGGUGGACGGCCACAUUGGGACUGAGACACGGCCCAAACUCCUACGGGAGGCAGCAGUGGGGGAUAUUGCACAAUGGGGGAAACCCUGAUGCAGCGACGCCGCGUGAGUGAAGAAGUAUUUCGGUAUGUAAAGCUCUAUCAGCAGGGAAGAAAGAAGACGGUACCUGAGUAAGAAGCCCCGGCUAACUACGUG
rnacentral:rRNA from 1 species